rnacentral:rRNA from 1 species
GUGGGGAAUCUUCCGCAAUGGACGAAAGUCUGACGGAGCAACGCCGCGUGAGUGAUGAAGGUCUUCGGAUUGUAAAGCUCUGUUAAUCGGGACGAAAGAGCCUAGUGUGAAUAAUGCUAGGAAGUGACGGUACCGGAAUAGAAAGCCACGGCUAACUACGUGCCAGCAGCCGCGGUAAUACGUAGGUGGCAAGCGUUGUCCGGAAUUAUUGGGCGUAAAGCGCGCGCAGGCGGAUCUGCCAGUCUGUCUUAAAAGUUCGGGGCUUAACCCCGUGAUGGGAUGGAAACUACAGAUCUAGAGUAUCGGAGAGGAAAGUGGAAUUCCUAGUGUAGCGGUGAAAUGCGUAGAUAUUAGGAAGAACACCAGUGGCGAAGGCGGCUGCCUAGUCUACAACUGACGCUGAGGCACGAAAGCGUGGGGAGCAAAUAGGAUUAGAUACCCCUGUAGUCC